AUACUUACAUGGCCGGGUGAUCACCAAGCUGGUUUUCCUGGGGUGAAGCUCAUCCACUGCACUCUGGAUGUGCUGAUCCCUGUAAUUUCACCAACUGUGGGAAACUCAACUGCACAAUUUGUGGUAGUGGGGGACUGCAUUCACACUUUUCCCUG
rnacentral:snRNA from 1 species